AGCUUUGUGAAGUGGCAGUAUUAUAACCAAUGAGGUUUAUCAGAGGCAUGAUUAUUGCUAAUUCAUAGGACCAUACUGACGGC
ensembl:snRNA U4 U4 spliceosomal RNA